UUUCCGUAGGUGAACCUGCGGAAGGAUCAUUUUUGUAUAACCGAGGUUCGAGCGCUCUCUCUGACGCGAGAGCUCGUGCACGCACGAGUGCCAUCCCACACAUCCAUCUCAGCCCGAUGUUCACCACCGCGUGCUUCCCCCUUUGGCUUGUUCGUAGGGGGGCUUACGUUUUCACACAAUCUAUUUUUGAAGUGUAGAAUAUAUUUUUUUUAUUUGUGUUAACGCAAGCAAUAUUACUUUCAACAACGGAUCACUUGGCUCCCGCUUCGAAGAAGAACC
rnacentral:misc_RNA from 1 species